rnacentral:rRNA from 1 species
AGAAUCAACGCUGGCGGCGUGCCUAACACAUGCAAGUCGAACGAGAAAGGGGAGCAAUCCCUGAGUAAAGUGGCGACCGGGUGAGUAACACGUGACUAACCUACCCUCGAGUGUGGAAUAACAUCGGGAAACCGAUGCUAAUACCGCAUAACAUCGGCGCUUUUAAGAGAUGCCGAUCAAAGGAGCAAUCCGCUUGAGGAGGGGGUCGCGGCCGAUUAGUUAGUUGGCGGGGUAAUGGCCCACCAAGACUGUGAUCGGUA